rnacentral:rRNA from 1 species
CCCUUAGAUGUUCUGGGCCGCACGCGCGCUACACUGACGAAGUCAGCGAGCAUGUCCUACGCCGACAGGUGCGGGGAAUCUUGUCAAACUUCGUCGUGAUGGGGAUUGAUUAUUGAAAUUCUUGAUCAUCAACGAGGAAUUCCUAGUAAGCGCAAGUCAGCAGCUUGCGUUGAUUACGUCCCGGCCCUUUGUACACACCGCCCGUCGCUACUACCGAUUGAAUGGUUUAGUGAGAUCUUCGGAUUGGCGCCACUGCGGCUCAGCAAUGGGCUCGGUGGAUGCCGAAAAGUUGAUCAAACUUGAUCAUUUAGAGGAAGUAAAAGUCGUAACA